rnacentral:lncRNA from 1 species
AUUAUAGAAAAUUGUAAAUGAGGUGACAGUAAUUCAUGCCUUUCUCUGCUGAUUUUCCUAGGCCAACAUCAGAAAGAUCGAAGAACAGAAUACAGUUGGAAGCCAACAACAUAUUUGUGGUUUUGAAGUUUGGAACAACAUCAAAAGAUAUGCAGGACACAGCUCAGAAUACAUUAUCACAUCCUGUCAGGCAGCAGGAACUCCAGAUUUUGAUGACAUGACUAGCUGGAUCAUUCUGCAUUUGUCCAGGAACAUGUAUUUAGGUACUGUGAUGAUUUUAUUGGUAGAAUAUUUGCAAUGUUUCAGAUGUUUCCGGGGUAUGUGGCCGCUGAGCAAGGUUUUGGUAAUCUGAACUUUUAGGUUAGAGAGUAGUC